rfam:Glycine max cultivar Williams 82 chromosome 19, whole genome shotgun sequence.
UUCAACUGUGAUGAGCCAAUAGACCUGUAAUGAUUUGCGGCUAUGAUCGCAAUCAUUAAUGAACAUCUAAGGGACUGAGUUAUC